GACGAACCGUGCGAACGUUGUUCGGAUUCACUGGGCUUAAAGGGCGCGUAGGCGGGCGGUCAAGUCAGGGGUGAAAUCUUUCGGCUCAACCGGAAAAGUGCCUUUGAUACUGGCCGUCUCGAGGGAGGUAGGGGCAUGCGGAACUUCCGGUGGAGCGGUGAAAUGCGUAGAUAUCGGAAGGAACACCUGUGGCGAAAGCGGCUCACUGGACCAUUACUGACGCUGAUGCACGAAAGCUAGGGGAGCAAACAGG
rnacentral:rRNA from 1 species